CGAUCCCACGAAUCCUACGAGGCCCGUCUACAAGCGUCCGUCGGAUCAAACCUUCUUUCGUUUCAGUGGCGGACAGUGAGUUUAUUCGUUGGCUUCGGACACCACCGCGUCUUUGAAGAUUUCGCAGCGCCCCAUGGCGGACUUCAUCGUGUUAUCCUCAGGGUGUAGCACCCCUCUCGAUCACUUGCAGUCCUCUCUCCGUUUCUACCGUCGCCGUCUCCGCCGAGUCAGCGAGGCUUCGAUCGGCAAGCAGGGCCCAGCUCAUGGACCGUGGAGGCCCUUCGGUGGCCGCGGCAACUUGGCUCUCUCUUCGCUCUCCAGAAGCACAGGUAACGCACAGCGUCCAGGAAUGGAUGGCGAUCCUGCCCGAAGCGGCAAACAAGUAGCUGAGGAGAGCAGGGUUGGUUCCGUUAAUGCUGCCGGAAGCUCAGCUAGCAACUUCUUGUCCUUGCUCUGCCCCCUUCUCAAGUUCUUUGGGGGUGGGGAUCCUUCUCAAAAUCGGAAUGAACUUCUCGAGGUCGCAACAUCUUCCCUAUCCAGUUUAUCUAGAUUUCCAUGGGGUUCAAAGUCAUUAAACAUAAGAAGCCCUGAUUCUACAACACAACAAACAUCUUUGCAAAUAUAUGAAUUUGAGGCAUGCCCUUUUUGCAGGAGAGUGAGGGAAGCAAUGACCGAGCUAGAUCUCACAGUGGAGGUUUAUCCUUGUCCAAAAGGAUCAUUACAUCAUAGGGAAUUGGUCCGAAGCAUUGGUGGGAAGGAGCAGUUCCCAUUUCUUGUUGAUUUAAACACUGGUGUUUCAAUGUAUGAAAGCAGCGAUAUAGUGAAAUACCUGUUCCAGCAGUAUGGUCAAGGAAGGAAACCCACGUUUGGGCUCCUUGAGAGCACUAUGUUUACUGGAUGGGUACCUACUCUUCUCCGGUCUGGUAGAGGAAUGACAUUGUGGGAAAAUGCAGCAGGAACACAACCUUCUCUAAAAUUGGAACUUUUUUCAUAUGAGAACAAUAUGUAUUCAAGAAUCAUACGGGAAGCACUAUGUGAGAUGGAAAUUCCAUACGUUCUUCAUAACGUUGGAGAGGGCUCAGCAAAAUUGAAGCUCCUUUUGCAGCUGUCUGGUUCACAAGAGGUGCCUUAUUUUGUUGAUCCUAACACUGGGAUUCAAAUGGGUGACUAUAAAGAAAUUUUGCGCUACUUGUUCCAGACAUACUCUAGUAGCUAGCUUUCUGUUAUAUUUGUCAGCGGAUUGGAAAACAUAUCGUGAUCAUCAAACCUGAGUAGGAGAAGGAAGAGGAGUAAAUAAGUUUAAAUAUGAUAAUGGAAGGCGACAAGGUGGCGCAGAUGGUGUGUGAUGCCAGGACUAUGGGAGAGACUUGGGCAUUUUUAAGUUUCCGCAUUUUAGUGUAUAAGAAACAUUUGAAGUUGUACUUUAAGAUCCAUGUCAUUUGAGAUUAUUUUUGUGUUAGAUGACAUGCUAAGAUAAACUCAGUUUAGUAGGUA